GGACGUGUGCCCGAAAAACUAGGGGUUACUUUGAUAGAGUAAACAACAGAGGUUAAAGCCCUCUCACUUCC
rnacentral:tRNA from 1 species